AUUUUUCCUUUUCCUCUUUUUCUUUCCCCUUCCCUUCUUCUCUUCGCGCCAGCCCUCCCCCCUUCGAUUCUUUCUUCCUCUUCGCGUGAACCCUAGCGCCAGCGUCUGUCCUGCCACCGUUCGUCGACCUUGAAGCGCCGCUGUCCGCCACUGUAUGGACCCGCCGGAUCUGAAGCUGAACGCCAGCUGCCAGCUCUUCGCGUCGGUGUGGGUGCCUCCAGCCGUCGGUCUCUGUCACCGCGAACCAGUUGCUCACUGUCAGACCAGCCGCGCCGCGUCGCUCCCUCAUUGUCCCCUCCUUUCGCACCACGAUCGUAGCUGCCGAAGCCGUCGUCGUUCCUUCACGCGGAUUGAAGCCGAGCCAUCAGAUCCAUCUACUGACGGCCUACCGUCCGUCGAGCACCUCCGUCCAGCCCCUGCAGUGUUCAGGUUGAUAGCUAUCACCGCCUUUGGUCGCCGUUAGUCGCAAGUGUGCUAUCUAGGGUGUGAUUGAAGUCCGGAUUGAAGACUAUCUCAUUCUAAGUUGCAGUCAAGAAAGGAUUGUGAGCAAUUGGUGAGAUUUGAGUCUGGAAAACUAUUGAAGCGACUGUUCAGCGAGUUCAAGAUCGUUUUCAACAAGUGUUUUGGAAAAUGUGUUGGCGCAAGGCAGAAUUGCGAUACAAGGAAUUCAGUGUCCGAGCGCAUUAAAAG